UUUAGAAAUAAUUUUUAACAAAUAAAUGAUUAUGUUUUCAACAAUAUUCUUAAUCAAACUUGUAAUGAUAUUUCACCAAAGAAAAAACUUGCAAGGAAUGCUACACAGCCUCACAUUCACGGUGAAAAGUCGGUCCUUAAGGCGUGGGCAGGCUUUUAUAUUCUAGUUCUAGCCCAUUAAAGGAGGGUUUGGUUGAGGGUCGCAUCUAGGGUGGGAGAGCAUUCCAAACCUCUCACUAUGAGAAAGAAAGCGAGAACGCCCGAUUAAGACUAUUUUCAAGAUAUGUGAGGGAGCACCGUGAACAUGCUUACACUAGAGUAAUUAAAAAAAACAAGAGGCACUGCGUAUACAUCUCCAUCUUCAUCUGCUCCAUCUCACAACGUCGUCAAUGUGUUUGUGUUCACUCUCCCUCAACAUGUUGUUGCUUCAUCUCCAAUUGUUUUUUUUGGCACAUCCAACAAAAGAUAAUAAAUAUAACAGGCAUGCAUUUGUCAUAAGAAGUGCCAAAUGACAGACAAAGAAGUUUACAUGAAAUAUGAUAAUGAGAGAGCAAACUAUUGCCAAUAAAAAAUGACAACUCUACCACCGAAAACAAAUGAAGAACUAGCUAAAGUCACCCCUGUAUGAAGCUCCCCUAACCAAACAUAAAUCAAUAAACAAGAUAAACCAAACUUGCACAUAACAAGGCAUAACCAAGAUAAAGAAAACGACUUUGUUCCUAUACCCUGCUAAUUGUGGAUCUAGUUUCCUUGUUGUUUGCGGUGAGUUUCACGGAGGUUUUGGGGCGGUUCGGGGUGCGUUCGCGAUGGUGGGUUCACGCUGGUGGCUUGUGUUUGUUUGGGGUGGGCUUGUAGUGGUGGGUUUCGUGGUGGCUCACAGAGAUUUUACGGAUCGGAGUGGGCCUUGAAGUCUGAGGCUAGUUGAGAAGCAAUCGCGGAGUGAUACAUGGUACCUUAAAAGGACUCAAUUCCUAUAGAGUUUAGAGAAAUUAGGUUUUCCAAUCUAUUGCAAUGUGUACGUAGCUUCCUAAUAUAUACAAGUGAUGAAUGCUAGAAUUAAGGAUGUUGUUGCAAAAACUACUGUACAACCAAUAUAUUUCCUAUUAUAGCUGAGAAGAUAAUGGUAAAUCAAUUAUCAAUAUAA
rnacentral:lncRNA from 1 species